CCCGCGCCGCAGCAUCCUCCGAGAGCUCGUCUUGCCGCCAGCACCUGCCUCCAAGGACGCCGCGCAGCUGCCCCGAGCCCGCGCGCCCGGGGCCCGCGACUGCGUGGGCGGAAGCCGGGAGGGUGUCAGCACGCGUGGGAGCGCUGGGAGCAUGCGUAUGCGGGUGCAUGUGGUCGGAGGGCGCGCGCUCGAGCGCGGCCG
rnacentral:lncRNA from 1 species